UACCGCGGUUAUACGAGAGGCUCAAGUUGUAAGACAUCGGCGUAAAGGGUGGUUAGGGAAAACUAAAACUAAAGCCGAAUACUGUCAAAGCUGUUAUACGCAACCGAAAGUAAGAAGAACAAUUACGAAAGUAGCUUUAUGUACCCCCGAACCCACGAAAGCUAAGAA
rnacentral:rRNA from 1 species